CUGACCCAGACGUUUAACGGUCAUCUGUUGCUAGCGGGGACGAUUCAAAUCGUUUUCUCAGCGUUGGCUCGACAGUGUGCAUUUCAUACAUGUGAUAGUGUUCCUGGCUGAAAAUACGGGAUGCCAAUCAGAAACAAACUCGUGCUGCAACUACCUGAGUGACGACAGACCUGACUUUACACACAGUAAGCUAACUAACAACAUAAGCUGAGACUCAUGAAUGGUCGAGCCAAAGUCCUCAGUGUCUACAUGUAGCUAUAUUAGGGCUCACUGCAAUCUACGUCUGCUCCGGAGCUGGAGGUGAGGACUCCCUGGUCCCAGUCGGGGUACGGGUUUGGAAAAGAGCGCUCCUCCAUCUCUGCCUCUGUAGCCGAGAUCAGCUUCAGCCGCUUGGACACGUUAUCUCCCAUCGCUACGGCGGCUCGGCAGGGAUAAAACUCCUCAGGCGCACUGCACGGCCGUGUGUUUCAGAAAAUGCAACGUUUAAAUUUACACCACACCAAAGUGAUAUGAAUUAAUAAUAUGAGAAUGGGAUAUUGUGAAAAUGUGUUUUUGUGUUUAAAGUCUGCUGCAGAGCAAACUUAUAUACAGGCUUGGCUACUGCCUAUAGCCUACACAAGAAAGGAAGAACAAAUGUUUAAAUACAUUUUAAACAAGAAAAAGCCUAGUCAUAGGAUCCUUUUCCUGAGGGCUAAAGAGUGGUAGAUAGUAGGCCUAAUAGCAGAAAUAUGCAAAAUUGUCAAAAUAGCCAAGACUUUUAUUUUGAAGACAUUAUAGCUCAUAUGGCUGUAUUGUAAUGACCAUAUUAUACAUUUUGCAGUCUGGUCUCAUGAUUAUUUAACCAGUAAGCUAAAUGACUUUGAUUGUGCUUCACAUAUUUGGAAUAAAGACUGGGGAGCUUAAUCCGGAAAGAAAAAGUUUGCUCAGCUGAAACUUUCAAAUAAAUAACUAACACAUUUAAAA